AACGGUCUAUACCUGCGGUACCUGCGGAAGGAUCAUUACAGGACUCGCAAGACUCCUACAACCCUGUGAACUUAACUAUAAGCACGUUGCUUCGGCGGGUGUCUCGGCGAGGGUUCUCCCUCCCCGGGGCGCUAAGCCCGCCGGCAGCCUACUAUACUCUGUCUCUUUGCGUUGGCAUCUCGAGUACAAACAAACAAGUUAAAACUUUUAACAAUGGAUCUCUAGAUCGGAAGAGCACAC
rnacentral:misc_RNA from 1 species